rfam:Schistosoma curassoni strain Dakar, Senegal genome assembly, scaffold: SCTD_contig0017795
AUCCAGCUGACGAGCCUAAUUAGGACGAGACGCGCGUCCUGGAU